rnacentral:rRNA from 1 species
UAGGGAAUUUUCGUCAAUGGGCGCAAGCCUGAACGAGCAAUGCCGCGUGAACGAGGAAGGUCUUCGGAUCGUAAAGUUCUGUUGAAGGGGAAAAAGAGCGGAGAGAGGAAAUGGUCUCCGAUUGAUAUUACCCUUCGAGGAAGUCAUGGCUAACUACGUGCC